CUGAUCUAUGUGUAAACCCUGUUAUUAGGUCAGAAAUGUGCGUUUUAUUUGUGUUUUCACUCUUUUAUCUGUGGAAUAAUCGCGGAGAGUGAUUCAUUAGUAGUUUGCAUAUUAACUUAAGUAAUGUGGAGAUUUAAAAUUUGUGCACUGUACUUGUCUGUUUAAGGUAAUUGUAUUUGGGAUUAAUUGGAGUAUUGAAAUGAUGAUCAAAUGUGAAAUGACACGUUCACGUUACAAUGACCGAUGUUUAUUCACAACAUUGUCACUAUCAGGCCAGAUAACCAUGUCCAUGUUUGACUUGUGUCAGUGACCAUGUGAUUCAAGGCUUCCAUUGCUGUGGAGUGCAUUGAACGACAUCAUGGCCUAGAAGAACAUACCCGGGGAUAAUACCAACAGCAACAAGUAUCACGCAACCGCCAAAAUGCACGCCGCCAUUUUGAAGCAUGUCUGAGUGAACCGAUGGUUUCCAUGGAUUCCACGAAGAUUCAAUUGAUUUGUUGGUUUUUAAUUCUCCAAUUAUUUUUAAAAAUAAACAUUUUGGUGAAUGCUGUUUGUGUUCUUCCAACGGAUCAUCUUCUUUCCCCCAUUGGUGUAAUCGUACUGCACACGAAAAACAUUCUACUGUAUCGUUUUUACCUGUGUAAUAAAAGCCAGCUGAUGAUAACUGAAA